rnacentral:lncRNA from 1 species
GGCUCCAUUUAUUGCCACGGCAGGGCACGCUCUCCCUGCCACCACAAUCAUCUACGGUGCCUAGCAAAGAUUAGUAGAUCUGCAUGUUGCAAAAUAUACCCACUCCAUUUCUAAAUUCUCGUCGUUGUUUUAGUACAAAUUUGAACUAAAAUGACGACAAGAAUUUAGAAAUUAAGUUGUGUUUUGGUGUAGCAACAACACUUGCUAAUGAUCAUGAACGUGUUAUUUGAAUGAAUAGUGAGAUUGAUUGAAACAAUUUGUGUUUUGUGCAGUGUUUAUUGGUUAUUAUUUCUAGCUCCAUUUGAAUAUAUUUGAAUUAUUGUCAUUAUGAAUUAAAUAUGGUCAAUACAAAUUUCAAUAUGGUUCCCUAGGGUGAAUUUCAGAUUCUAGUGGGUAAAGUCCUCUAGGGGAAGAUGAUGAUGUGGCAUAUGCAGCACCCAUGUGAUAUCUUUCCCUAGAGUUCUAGCCCUAGGUAAAGAAAUGUUCCCCUAGAGCUGUCAAAAUGCCCCUAGGUAAAGUCCUCUUUACCCAAUGUAUUAUCUUUAGGGUUCUUUCCCUAGAGUAGUCUCUAGGUGAAGUCUUUACCUAAGGUUUUUAUGCUUUCACCUAGAGUAUUUGGCACUAGAGAAAAUUGUGAUUUCUAGUAGUGAAAAGGAGUGAGUAUUUUGGAAGACCUAUCCGUCUUUCGUAGCACACUACCACAAACUGAAAAUUGUUACCAGGAAGAAGGAUAAAGGAGAAUAAAAAAAAAACUACCCUAGAGAACUGGCCACAUGGUCCUCCUUGAGUCAGCGACGAACUCGACCACAGCCCCAAAAAAGUAGUGGAUAUCAUCCUAGAUUUGCUCGAAAAUCCACUCCCCCAAAGAUGAAAUAUGUCGGAGCACGGUCUCCGGCACCGGGGAUGCCGAGCACCCCCUUUUUGGUUCGGUGGAGGGCGGGGUGAUCGCUCCGGCGAUCGCCGGUGUGACGAUAGACACGAAGUGUAGACACAAGAGUUUUAUCCAG